rnacentral:lncRNA from 1 species
AAGAAAAUAAAAGGUCACUAUUAUGAAAAUAUUUAGGAAGCAAUUAUGGUAACGAGGGAAUCACUAACUUUUACAUUUCUAGAAAUAGCCAGGGGGCGCCUGGGUGGUGUAGCGGGUUAAGCGUCCAACUCUUGGUUUUGGCUGGGGUCAUGAUCUCAGGGUCUCAGGGUCGUGAGAUCGAGCCCACACUGGCUCCAUGCUCCGUGUGAGUCUGCUCGAGAUUCUCUCUCCCUCUGCCCCUCCCACUUGUGCUCUCUCUUUCUCUAAAAUUAAAAAAAAAAAAAAAUAGAAAAAGACAUAGCCAAAUACUCAAAAUUAACAAUUAAAUGAUUGAAUUAUUCUUGGAUUAGUUUUUUUAAUGGAGAUACUUAAUUGAGAGUGCUGAAGAUUGCCUGCUUUUUCCCCAGUCUUCUGAUUCUUACUAUUCAAAUUUAGAUAAAGAAUGAUGUCCCUCAGUGAUCUGCUCACACACUGAUUUUAUUACAGAAAAGAGCAAGACAGUCUCCAACUAGAAAAGUGAGGUACACAGUACCGUGACUCCCACACUGCUCCUCCUCUGCCUAGUCCUCCUCUUUGAGACUGACAUUCAUCACAUCGUAAUGAACGUGUCUGUGACUCUGUUCCAAUUCCUGGCAGAUUUGAUCGGCGAGUAUCAGAUGCAGAAACUGAGGACAAAGCGGAAGUCAAGUCACUUGGAACAGUCAAGGCAAUAAUGUGCCCAAAGAUGAGAAGAGUGAUCUGGGAUCAAGACCAGGAAGAAGUUAAGGAGGUUGGAUGGAAACGGAAAAAGCGAAGGGAGGUGAGUCUGGAGUUCAAAAAAAAAGGGAAAAAAAAAAAAAAAGGGAAAAAAAAGUUUCAAAACCAGUUUUGAAAAAUAAAAUAAUGCUUUUCUAUAAAUAGAAACA